UACGAAGGGGGCUAGCGUUGUUCGGAAUUAUUGGGCGUAAAGGGCGCGUAGGCGGCGAUUCAAGUGACGGGUGAAAUCCCUCGGCUUAACCGAGGAACUGCCUGUCAGACUGGAUUGCUUGAGGCCGGGAGAGGCGAGUGGAAUUCCCAGUGUAGCGGUGAAAUGCGUAGAUAUUGGGAGGAACACCAGUGGCGAAGGCGGCUCGCUGGACCGGUUCUGACGCUGAGGCGCGAAAGCGUGGGGAGCAAACAGG
rnacentral:rRNA from 1 species